UGAUCCUGGCUCAGAUUGAACGCUGGCGGCAGGCCUAACACAUGCAAGUCGAACGGUAACAUUUAUAGCUUGCUAUAAGAUGACGAGUGGCGGACGGGUGAGUAAUGCUUAGGAACUUGCCUUUUGGUGGGGGAUAACAGUUGGAAACGACUGCUAAUACCGCAUAAUGUCUUUGGACCAAAGGGGGCUUCGGCUCUCACCAAGAGAGAGGCCUAAGUGAGAUUAGUUAGUUGGUGGGGUAAAGGCUUACCAAGACGACGAUCUCUAGCUGUUCUGAGAGGAAGAUCAGCCACACUGGGACUGAGACACGGCCCAGACUCCUACGGGAGGCAGCAGUGGGGAAUAUUGCACAAUGGGGGGAACCCUGAUGCAGCCAUGCCGCGUGUGUGAAGAAGGCCUUCGGGUUGUAAAGCACUUUCAGUUGUGAGGAAAGGUUGGUAGUUAAUACCUGCCAGCUGUGACGUUAACAACAGAAGAAGCACCGGCUAACUCCGUGCCAGCAGCCGCGGUAAUACGGAGGGUGCGAGCGUUAAUCGGAAUUACUGGGCGUAAAGCGCACGCAGGCGGUUUGUUAAGCGAGAUGUGAAAGCCCCGGGCUCAACCUGGGAGGGUCAUUUCGAACUGGCAGACUAGAGUUUUGGAGAGGGGAGUGGAAUUCCAGGUGUAGCGGUGAAAUGCGUAGAUAUCUGGAGGAACAUCAGUGGCGAAGGCGACUCCCUGGUCAAAGACUGACGCUCAUGUGCGAAAGUGUGGGUAGCGAACAGGAUUAGAUACCCUGGUAGU
rnacentral:rRNA from 1 species